rnacentral:rRNA from 1 species
GACGAACGCUGGCGGCGUGCCUAAUACAUGCAAGUAGAACGCAGUUGCGAACGGGUGAGUAACGCGUAGGUAACUGCCUCAUAGCGGGGGAUAACUAUUGGAAACGAUAGCUAAUACCGCAUACUGUGAGAUGGACCGGCGGUGUAUUAGGUAGGUGGUGAGGUAAAGGCUCACCAAGGAGUCGAUACAUAGCCGGCCGGAGAGGGGUAUCCGCCACACUGGGACUGAGACACGGCCCAGACUCCGACGGGAGGCAGCAGGAGGGAAUCUUCGGCAAUGGACGGAAGUCUGACCGAGCAACGCCGCGUGAGUGAAGAAGGUUUUCGGAUCGUAAAACUCUGUUGUUAGAGAAGUGGUAUCUAACCAAAAAGCCACGGCUAACUACGUGCCAGCAGCCGCGGUAAUAC